rnacentral:rRNA from 1 species
CCUACGGGAGGCAGCAGUGGGGAAUUUUGGACAAUGGGCGAAAGCCUGAUCCAGCCAUUCCGCGUGCAGGAUGAAGGCCCUCGGGUUGUAAACUGCUUUUGUACGGAACGAAACGGCGCCCUCUAAUACAGGGUGCUAAUGACGGUACCGUAAGAAUAAGCACCGGCUAACUACGUGCCAGCAGCCGCGGUAAUACGUAGGGUGCAAGCGUUAAUCGGAAUUACUGGGCGUAAAGCGUGCGCAGGCGGUGAUGUAAGACAGAUGUGAAAUCCCCGGGCUCAACCUGGGAACUGCAUUUGUGACUGCAUCGCUGGAGUACGGCAGAGGGGGAUGGAAUUCCGCGUGUAGCAGUGAAAUGCGUAGAUAUGCGGAGGAACACCGAUGGCGAAGGCAAUCCCCUGGGCCUGUACUGACGCUCAUGCACGAAAGCGUGGGGAGCAAACAGGAUUAGAUACCCUGGUAGUCCACGCCCUAAACGAUGUCAACUGGUUGUUGGGUCUUCACUGACUCAGUAACGAAGCUAAACGCGUGAAGUUGACCGCCUGGGGAGUUACGGCCGCAAGGUUGAAACUUCAAAGGAAUUGACGGGCNGAGAGNGCGAGGACGACGACGAGGGAGGAGG